GGAGCUGCUACCCCUGGGGAGAGAGAGGAGCUGCUACCCCUGGGGAGAGAGGAGUUGCAACCAGGAGAGACUGUGACCCUGCUCGGGAAGAGCUUAACGAUUGGUGAUUGUUGGGGCACGAUUGGCAGGAGCUUCAGUGAUGAAGACUGCUGAACUUGCUGAUGUUUCACAAUAUGCCACGGCCGUCUCAGUCACCAGGUCUCAACACAACUGAACACAACCAUCCCUCCAAUAGACUUCCAGACAGUUGUAGAAUGUUUGCCAAGGCACAUUGUAAGAGCUGUAAAGAGAGAGGGACUCGGAGAGAGAACAGGUAGAACCUGAUAUGUAAAUGAGCAGAGCAAACGAAAGCAACUUUCAACGACCGAAUGAUCAUUACAGACUCUGUUUCUAUUGAGAGAUAAAAGGCUGGUUGAAUGAGUUGCCUGUGAAAGCUACUUCAUCUGCAAGCAAACAGGCGGCUGCACCAGUGACUGUCAGAAGUUUUGUGAUUUCCUCAUAUGAACGUGAAAGGGUCAGUGCUCUAAAAUGAGUCUCUCUGGGGAGAGAGAGGAGGGGGGCCCUGCCUCUAAAAUGCGUCUCUCUGGGGGACAUGACACCAAAGCUAAGAGGUAAGAUGACAAUUUUAUGAAGAAUUUAUUAAGUUUAUUUCCAAAAUAAAUAGCUAUCUUAAGAUGAAUGCAGUUACUGUAAAUCACUCUGGAUAAGAGCAUCUGCUAAAUCAGGGGUUCUCAAUCCGGGGUCUGUGGAGGUACUGCAGGGGCUCCACGGCACCGACUGUACUCGUUGCAAUGUAAGACAUUUGAUAGAAUUUUCACAUGACACGACCACUUUGCCUACUCUUAAAUUAUUGCUAAUAUAAUGAAAUGCAUAUAUUUUUUUAACAAAUUCUUAUACUUUUUCAAGCAGAAUUUUGACAAUAUUAUCGUUAUAUCAACACACUCUUCACACCCGUUUAACAACUCUAAAUUCAAACCAGCCACCUUUCGGCGACAGGUCCAACUCCUUAGCCGCUGGGCGAAAACCUGAGUUAAUCUUCAGAAAUUAAUAGCAUGAGUUAAUCUGCCCAAAUGAAGACAAAAUGCUUUGGAGACAUACAUGGUAUCACUUGUUACACAUAAUUAUUAUACAUAAAUCAUUGUCAAAAGCACAAGACAUACUGUUGCAUGUAGGUCUAUUUAAUUUAUGGAUUGAU